rnacentral:rRNA from 1 species
UGAGGAAUAUUGGGCAAUGCCCGCAAGGGUGACCCAGCAACGCCGCGUGGAGGAUGAAUGUCGUAAGAUUGUAAACUCCUGUUAGAGGGGAAGAAUAGUACCGGUUGGACCGGUAUAUGACUGUACCCUCAGAGAAAGCCCCGGCUAACUACGUGCCAGCAGCCGCGGUAAUACGUAGGGGGCAAGCGUUGUCCGGAUUUACUGGGUGUAAAGGGCGCGCAGGCGGGAUAAAAAGUCAGUGGUGAAAUCCUACAGCUUAACUGUAGAACUGCCUUUGAUACUUUUAUUCUUGAGUUCGGGAGAGAGAGACGGAAUUCCAGGGGUAGUGGUGAAAUACGUAGAUAUCUGGAAGAACACCAGUUGCGAAGGCGGUCUCUUGGUCCGACACUGACGCUGAGCGCGAAAGCGUGUGGAGCAAACA